rnacentral:tRNA from 1 species
GGACUCGUAGUUCAGCCCGGCUAGAACAUUCCUCUGAUAAGGGAAAAAUCUGUGGUUCAAAUCCACACGAGUCCA